UCUUUCUACCUACUCCAUCCCUACAUUUAUAUCAACAUUUCUCUACAAUUAUAUCCCACAAACCAUAUUUUUCCUCUUCGAUCGACUGUCUCUCUCUCUCCAUCUCAUCGACCUUGACAACGUAAUCCAUCCGCAGCAUAUACUCAAGUUACUCUCCUGGUGCAAUUUUUCUCCAAUGGGAGUCGACAAAGAAAUGGAUUUCCUACAAAGUUGCUUGCAUCAAAAGUUUCAAAUUGUGCUCUAAUAUCCGGGGUCCUACCUGAUAAGUUGUUAUAAGCGACACUAAACACCUCCAAAAGGUAAGCUCAAGUAAUUGUGGAGGGAUUUCUUCCCUCAAACUAUUGUGAGAAAGAUCCAAAGCUCUCUAAUUCAGUCAAAUUUGACAAUGUCUUUGGAAUGGAACCCAUCAACUGAUUGUGAGACAAGUUUAGUGAAUGAAUUUAAUUGCUAAGCCUAUGUUUCGUAACAAA